GACGAACGCUGGCGGCGUGCUUAACACAUGCAAGUCGAACGGAAAGGCCCUGCUUUUGUGGGGUGCUCGAGCGGCGAACGGGUGAGUAACACGUGAGUAACCUGCCCUUGACUUUGGGAUAACUUCAGGAAACUGGGGCUAAUACCGGAUAGGAGCUCCUGCUGCAUGGUGGGGGUGGGAAAGUUUCGGCGGUUGGGGAUGGACUCGCGGCUUAUCAGCUUGUUGGUGGGGUAGUGGCUUACCAAGGCUUUGACGGGUAGCCGGCCUGAGAGGGUGACCGGCCACAUUGGGACUGAGAUACGGCCCAGACUCCUACGGGAGGCAGCAGUGGGGAAUAUUGCACAAUGGGCGGAAGCCUGAUGCAGCAACGCCGCGUGCGGGAUGACGGCCUUCGGGUUGUAAACCGCUUUCGCCUGUGACGAAGCGUGAGUGACGGUAAUGGGUAAAGAAGCACCGGCUAACUACGUG
rnacentral:rRNA from 1 species